rnacentral:rRNA from 1 species
GUCCCGCCGCCCCCGCCCGCCUACGGGAGGAGCAGUGGGGAAUUUUGGACAAUGGGGGCAACCCUGAUCCAGCCAUGCCGCGUGAGUGAAGAAGGCCUUCGGGUUGUAAAGCUCUUUCAGCCGGGAAGAAAAUGCAUAGGUUAAUACCCUGUGCGGAUGACGGUACCGGAAUAAGAAGCACCGGCUAACUACG